CGUUGGAAAAUAUUGAAAUUUUCCGUGCAUGUUCUUUCAAUUUCGUACCCUUUUUCUGAGGAGCCAAAGGGAUUCUCCACUCCUUUCUCUUCUCAAAUAUCCAAGCAAUAAUCAUUCUCAAGUCUUCAAAAUAAAUCAAUGGCAACAACGACGCAGAGCAGCAAUUCAAUGUCUGACACUGAGUGCUCAUACGACAAACACAAGCGCGAGGACGAUUUCGAGGAAUCAAAUUUGGGGUUAGCAAAGAAGCAGAGAACUGCAGAAAAUGCAAUGGAGGAGCAAGCGACAAGGAGGGAUUCGGAUGUGGAUAAGGUGAGUGAAGAAGAAACUAACAAAAAUGUUUGUUUGAAAGAAGCGAAACAGAGUAUGGAGGGGAAGAAGGGAUUCCAUAUCGAAGCUGACGCUGCCGAAGAUAAAGGUUCUAGGCAUUCCAUGGAGGAUGCUUGGGUAUUGCUCCCGGACGCGAGUUUUGAUUCUCCUGGCACUUUGAGGUGUGCUCAUUUUGCAAUUUAUGAUGGGCAUGGAGGGCGGUUGGCUGCUGAAUAUGCUAAGAAGCAUUUACAUAGAAAUGUCCUUUCAGCUGGCUUACCACGUGAGUUGUUGGAUGUGAAAGCUGCGAAAAAGGCCAUACUAGAUGGUUUUCGAAAAACAGAUGAAUCUCUCCUACAUGAAAGUGCUUCAGGGGGAUGGCAGGAUGGUGCUACAGCUGUAUGUGUCUGGGUAUUGGGGCAAACAGUUUUUAUCGCUAACAUUGGGGAUGCUAAAGCAGUUUUAGCUCGGUCAUCUGAAGCUGGUGGAUCACUAAAUCAUUCAGAUGGUGAAAGACUGUUGAAAGCCAUUGUUUUGACUAGGGAACAUAAAGCUAUAUAUCCACAGGAACGUGCACGCAUACAGAAGGCUGGUGGAAGCAUAACUUCAAAUGGACGAUUACAGGGUCGCCUUGAAGUUUCCAGGGCCUUUGGAGAUCGCCAAUUCAAGAAGGUUCAAAGUUGGCGUUGUUGCAACUCCAGAUAUCCAUUCUUUUGACCUUACAGGCAGAGAACACUUCAUCAUUCUUGGUUGUGACGGCUUGUGGGGGGUAUUUGGGCCAAGUGAUGCUGUUGAAUUUGUUCAGAGAUUAUUGAAGGAGGGCUUAGCUGUUACUUCUGUGAGUCGCCGUCUCAUAAGGGAAGCUGUAAUUGAAAGACGUUGCAAAGACAAUUGCACUGCUAUAGUGAUUGUUUUCAGGCGCGAGUAACUCCGAAGUCACCUGUUUCGCCCCAUCACUUGACAAGAGGUUCUCAAAUCUUUUGUUUGGCUGUAGAAACUCCCCACAUGGUUAUGGCAUAUGACUGUUUUUGAUUGAAUGUUA